rnacentral:lncRNA from 13 species
CUCAGGGCCUCUAUCACCCGCCUGCUCCAUGGUGCCCUUCAGGUCCCACCCUGGGCCUCCCUGAUGCUGAGAUGUGGCUGCCUAUGGGACCGUGCCUGGCCUCCUGGCAUGUGUGACCUGGAAAUGUGGCUAGGAGCUGACAGAACAUUUAGGUUGCACAAGGUCUGCUGGAGCACUUUAGAGAAUUCCAGAUGAAUCUUGAUUGCAUCCUGGAAUGCACCGCUGGAGC